GCCCAGCCGUAAACAAUUAAAUUACACCUAAAAUCGCCAGGGAACUACGAGCAAAGCUUAAAACCCAAAGGAUUUGACGGUGUCCCAUCCACCUAGAGGAGCCUGUCCUAUAAUCGAUAAUCCCCGUUAUACCUCACCAUUUCUUGCUUCCCAGUCUGUAUACCGCCGUCGAAAGCUCACCCUGUGAAAGAUUACAGUUAGCUAAAUGGCCCUUCCGCCAACACGUCAGGUCAAGGUGCAACUAACGAAAUGGGAAGAGAUGGGCUACAAUUUCUAAUAUAGAACAUACGGAAUAUCAGGUGAAACCCCUGACAUGAAGGAGGAUUUAGUAGUAAAAAGAAAAUAGAGUGUUCUUUUUAACCCGGCUCUGGGACGCGUACACACCGCCCGUCACCCCCCUCGAUAGCAUAUUAAUAAGUUUAUAACAAGCCACCCGCGCCUU
rnacentral:rRNA from 1 species